CGGCGAGUGAAGCGGCAACAGCUCAAAUUUGAAAUCUGGCCCUAGCGGUCCGAGUUGUAAUUUGCAGAGGAUGCUUUUGGUGCGGUGCCUUCCGAGUUCCCUGGAACGGGACGCCGGAGAGGGUGAGAGCCCCGUACGGUUGGACACCUACCCUAUACAUAGCUCCUUCGACGAGUCGAGUAGUUUGGGAAUGCUGCUCUAAAUGGGAGGUAAAUUUCUUCUAAAGCUAAAUACCGGCCAGAGACCGAUAGCGCACAAGUAGAGUGAUCGAAAGAUGAAAAGCACUUUGAAAAGAGGGUUAAAUAGCACGUGAAAUUGUUGAAAGGGAAGCGUUUGCGACCAGACCUUUUCCCGGCGGAUCAUCCGGUGUUCUCACCGGUGCACUUCGCCGGGUCUAGGCCAGCAUCGGUUUCCUUAGGGGGAUAAAGGCCUGGGGAACGUAGCUCUUUCGGGAGUGUUAUAGCCCCUAGCGUAAUACCCCUCGGGGGACCGAGGACCGCGCAAGGAUGCUGGCGUAAUGGUCGUCAACGACCCGUCUUGAAACACGGACCAAGGAGUCGAACAUUUGUGCGAGUGUUUGGGUGUCAAACCCUCACGCGUAAUGAAAGUGAACGGAGGUGAGAGCCCUCGCGGGUGCAUCAUCGACCGAUCCUGAAGUCUUCGGAUGGAUUUGAGUAAGAGCAUAACUGUUCGGACCCGAAAGAUGGUGAACUAUGCGUGGAUAGGGUGAAGCCAGAGGAAACUCUGGUGGAGGCUCGCAGCGGUUCUGACGUGCAAAUCGAUCGUCAAAUCUGCGCAUGGGGGCGAAAG
rnacentral:rRNA from 1 species